rnacentral:snRNA from 1 species
GUGCUCGCUUCGGCAGCACAUAUACUAAAAUUGGAACGAUACAGAGAAGAUUAGCAUGGCCCCUGUGCAAGGAUAACAUGCAAAUUCAUGAAGCAUUCCAUAUUUUU